rnacentral:rRNA from 1 species
CUGGCGGCGUGCCUAACACAUGCAAGUCGAACGGAGUAUAUUUUCUAGCUUGCUAGCAGAUAUACUUAGUGGCGCACGGGUGAGUAACACGUGGGCAAUCUACCCGGAAGACUGGGAUAACAGUGCGAAAGUGCUGCUAAUACCGGAUAUUUUCACGAAGUCGCAUGACUUUGUGCAGAAAGUUUUUCGCUUCCGGAUGAGCCCGCGUCCCAUUAGCUAGUUGGUGAGGUAACGGCUCACAAAGGCGACGAUGGGUAGCUGGUCUGAGAGGACGAUCAGCCACACUGGAACUGAGACACGGUCCAGACUCCUACGGGAGGCAGCAGUGGGGAAUCUUGCGCAAUGGGCGAAAGCCUGACGCAGCAACGCCGCGUGAACGAUGAAGGCCUUCGGGUCGUAAAGUUCUGUCAAGGGGGACGAUAAUGACGGUACCCCUGGAGGAAGCCCCGGCUAACUACGUGCCAGCAGCCGCGGUAAUACGUAGGGGGCGAGCGUUGUCCGGAAUCACUGGGCGUAAAGGGCGCGUAGGCGGCUUUAGAAGUCGCAGGUGAAAUCCCGCGGCUCAACCGUGGAACUGCCUGCGAAACCAUUUAGCUUGAGGACAGGAGAGGGAAGCGGAAUUCCUGGUGUAGCGGUGAAAUGCGUAGAUAUCAGGAGGAACACCAGUGGCGAAGGCGGCUUUCUGGCCUGGUCCUGACGCUGAGGCGCGAAAGCUAGGGGAGCAAACAGGAUUAGAUACCCUGGUAGUCCUAGCUGUAAACGAUGGGCACUAGGUGUUGGGGGGUUCAUACCCUUCAGUGCCGUAGGUAACCCAAUAAGUGCCCCGCCUGGGGAGUACGGUCGCAAGACUGAAACUCAAAGGAAUUGACGGGGGCCCGCACAAGCGGUGGAGCAUGUGGUUUAAUUCGAUGCAACGCGAAGAACCUUACCAGGGUUUGACAUGCCGGUGGUACGGAGUGGAAACACGAAGGACCUUUCGGGGAGCCGGCACAGGUGGUGCAUGGUUGUCGUCAGCUCGUGCCGUGAGGUGUUGGGUUAAGUCCCGCAACGAGCGCAACCCUUGCUUCUAGUUGCCAGUGGGUAGUGCCGGGCACUCUAGAGGGACUGCCGUCGACAAGGCGGAGGAAGGUGGGGAUGACGUCAAAUCAUCAUGCCCUUUAUAUCCUGGGCUACACACGUGCUACAAUGGCCGGUACAACGGGAGGCUAAGGCGUGAGCCGGAGCAAAUCCCAAAAAGCCGGUCCAAGUUCGGAUUGCAGGCUGCAACUCGCCUGCAUGAAGUCGGAAUCGCUAGUAAUCGCAGGUCAGCAUACUGCGGUGAAUGCGUUCCCGGGCCUUGUACACACCGCCCGUCACACCACGAAAGUCGGCAACACCCGAAGUCGGUGACCCAACCUGUGAGGGAGGGAGCCGCCUAAGGUGGGGUCGGUGAUUGGGGUGAAGUCGUAACAAGGUAGCCGUA